AAAGGGAGGAGUGCCUUAGGGAACCGGGAGACAGGUGGUGCAUGGCUGUCGUCAGCUCGUGUCGUGAGAUGUUGGGUUAAGUCCCGCAACGAGCGCAACCCACGUUUUUAGUUGCCAGCAUUAAGUUGGGCACUCUAGAGAGACUGCCGGUGACAAACCGGAGGAAGGUGUGGACGACGUCAAGUCAUCAUGCCCCUUACGCCUUGGGCUACACACGUACUACAAUGGUCAGGACAACGGGCAGCGAGCGCGCAAGUGUAAGCGAAUCCCAACAAACCUGGCCUCAGUUCAGAUUGCAGGCUGCAACUCGCCUGCAUGAAGGAGGAAUCGCUAGUAAUCGCAGGUCAGCAUACUGCGGUGAAUUCGUUCCCGGGCCUUGUACACACCGCCCGUCACACCAUGGGAGCUGGUCACGCCCGAAGUCGUUACUCCAACCUUUCGAGGGGGAGGACGCCUAAGGCAGGGCUAGUGACUGGGGUGAAGUCGUAACAAGGUAGCCGUACCGGAAGGUGUGGCUGGAU
rnacentral:rRNA from 1 species